AGCCUGAUGUAUUAGAUUCCAGGUUUAUUCUGCCCAGUGUUUGUUAUAAACGGCCGCGGUACUUUGACCGUGCUAAGGUAGCGCAAUCAAUUGGCUUUUAAUUGUAGUCAUGUAUGAAUGGAAUGACAGGGUUUGACUGUCUUUAUAUUAUUUUAUUGAAAUUACUAUUUAAGUGAAAAAGCUUAAGAUUAAAGAAAAGACGAGAAGACCCUUAGAGUUUAACUAAAAUAUAAUUGGUAUUAUUUUUGUUUAGUUGGGGCAACUAAGGAAUCCAUCAACAUCCUCUUACUGACUUGCCGGAUUUUACAAGUAAGAAUAAACUACCUUAGGGAUAACAGCAUAAUUUAUAAAAUAAGUUUGUGACCUCGAUGUUGGACUAGGAAAAUCAGAGGUUAGUUGCUUCUGGUUUAGGUUCUGUUCGAACUUUAACUCCU
rnacentral:rRNA from 1 species